rnacentral:lncRNA from 1 species
AUCUUCCCAAAAUUUGAAUUGGAUUCAUUUUGAAAUCAAUUCAGAAGUCAAAGGGAAUUAUUUAAGAAUUGCUCCGCAUUUAUUUGGCAGGAAAAUGAAUUUCAUAAGUCCAAAUAAUGGCCUCGACCUUCAGCUAGAUUAUCAAAAUGGAUUUGAAACACAUUUGGUUUUGAAACCAAAUUCAAAUUUGAAAGUGAAAACAUAAGUGUACAAAAUGUUUGUCCAAAAACCCAAACUAAAAGUUGACAUAGUCACAAAUAUUCCAUUGGAAUUUAGAGCCAGUUCACUGCUGAAAGAAAAUUUAAAACAGAAAUAAAACGAUAAGAAAAAGCCGAGCGAGCCAGCUAGCCACCCUAGCCGACCCAGCGCCCACUCUCUCUCUCUCUCUCUCUCUCUUCCUGAGCCGCUGCUAGGCAGGAGCCACCUGGCAGGGUCAGCUCCCUCCUUUCACCGCAUGCACGCACCAACGACCCGACGUGCACGACUCCCAUAAUCUCCACCCCGCGAGCUCUCCGGCCACGUCAACUCCCGUGGCCAUGCCCCUAUAAAUUCCCUCCUCCUGCUCGUCAUUUUUUCCCACACCAUGAAGCCCUCGCUGUCAGGCUGGUAUACCGUGAGCUCGCCGUUGUUGUUCUUACCUAGCAACUCCGGCGUCGAUUCCAACCACUACAAGCCACCCAAGCCCCGACGCUGCCACUACUGCAGUCACCAUACGCCAAAUAAUCCCAUGGACAUCCUCUCCAUGCCCAAAGCCCUCUAGAACAUCGACUUCAUCAACAACCAAAGCCCUCCGCCGCGCCGCCAUCAACUUCGGCGAUGUAAGGUCGCAUCUGAGCCGUGCAUCUUCCAUCAUGAUCACCGUGAUCUUGUGCAUCCCCUGACCGCACUUGUUCAUCUCCAAGUGCUUGUUUUCUUUGCGUGCGUCCACACCCAAGAAGCCUCGCCGCUGUAGCAACUCUGGCGAGCCCCUCCCGCUUGUCUCCGUCGUGCCCAACCACACCCGAGGCCAUCGCCGACCUCCCCGUCGUCUCCCGCACCCGUACGUGCCCUCGACAUAGCCCAAAACCCCCUGCAUUGCCAAAAACCAUCGCAGCUGAUCGCAGCGCCAUCUUCCCUGUGUUUUUCGGUGACCUCUCCAGCGAGGAACUCCGGUGAGCCCAAAACCCUAGCCCUCCGAUCUAUUUCUAGCUGUUGGAUUUAGAUCCAACAAAUCGAUACCAGCCAGCCAGAAGCUGCCACAUGUCCCAGCCAUAUCCAAAACAUUAUCCGUUCAAUUUUCUAUUAAUUCCUUUAAAUGGAAAAUUUGCAAAAAAAACCUUGGACUUAAAAUACUCACAACUUUUAAUUUAAAAAUCCAAAUUGAGUGGAACUUUUUGCAAAAUGACCUUCAUGAAAUGACUACCACAUAGGCUAAUAAAAUUUAGAAUUUGAAUAAUUUAAAAUUCAAAUUCAAAUUCAAGUAGGACAUUGCAAAUUAUAAACCCAAAUUAAUUGAUUCUUUUUGCACUUUGAACCUAGUGAAAUAUAGUUUCAACUUAGCUACUAUGAUGUAAUUUUGAAAUAAUUUAAAUUUGAAUUUGAAUGUAGUUAAACAAUAAUUAUAAUUCAAAUAAUAUCCAAACCUAAUUUGGUCUAACUUUGAAUUAAAAAUAUUAAUGGAAUAAUUAAGUUGCAACUAGUUCAGAAACUUAGAAUGAACUUUAGAAAUAUUUUUGGAUUAUUACUUGACUUCAGGAAUUUAAUUAAUUUGAAUUAUAUUCAAACUGGAUAGUUAUAACCUUGAAACCCUAGGUUUAAUUUGAAUACAACUAAUGCAAUAUGGUUUAGUGAAUUGAAUUAAACCUAGUAAUUAUUUUAGAGUUAAUAAUUGAGCACUUUGGCCCGUGCACUACAACGUCUUGGAUCAGAGCCAGCUUGCUCUUGAUACAUCUUGGCAUCAUGAGCCACGUUGACACGAAUUUGGAGUCUCCCCUUUGUUCUCUAGCCUAGUUUUGUUUGUUUUCGUCCCAAUUUUAAAAUCCCCACCAAAAAUAGCAUUCCCAAUUUUUUUUACAUUUUGUUGGUUCUUUUGAGAUUUUGUUAUGUUUGAUCCAUGAUUUUGUUGUUUUGCAACUGGAUCUUGGCAUUCCCCACCUCCCCACCAUGAAAUCCAUACCGAAAUUUCUUUUUCUCCAUCAAUUUUGACCCCCGUAAUAAAAAGAUCACCCAAAUCACGAUCUAGAAUUGUCGGGCCGGGCAUCCGGGGCUAUCGGUCCGGACAUCUGGGCUACGGGCCGGACAUCCGGCACCUGGAGCAUCAAAACGAAUGAGUUUCUGGAUACCGGGCCUCAGAAAUCCGGCCUCCCCCAGAUGUCCGACCCCUGGAGAUUUCAGCCAACAACAUUUCAACAUUUUCACCAUAACUUUCACAUCUGAAGUCCAAUUUUGGCAUUCUUUAGCUCGUUGGAGAUCUAUUGACAUCACCAUACAUCUAGAUAGAUUCCAACACCAUUUGAAUCCAUCGAAAUUUGUCCAUUUGGAAUCUUUGUUUAGCCCUCCACCUUAACUUCCGCAUAACCUUGCCCACAAUGCUCUUCCGCCAACUUAACCCAAUUUUGCCAGUUUUGUUUGCGAUUUUGAGUUGUGAUUUCUGUUGCCUGAGUUGUUUCAGCUAAUUAGGAAUAGUUCAACAUCAACAACACCGCCGCUCAUCAUCGGCACGGACUCGACACCGACAACGAUGUUACAGAUGAUGAUGGCAUCCUUGUGACCUAGUCACCUGUGUCUGGUCAGACGAUGAUGGAUGCCAUCACACCGAGACUGACCUAAGAAUCUAUCUCCAUUGAUGGAGGAGCAAAUCCCACUCUUGAUCUAUCGAGCCCAUUGUCAUACUUUACGAUAAUCAUGUAAGUUGUCGUUAUGAUCACCAUGUUACAGAUGAUGUAGGAACAACCCCAAAGUUUCUCGUCUAGUAUGGAGUGACUAUGAUACUCUCAUGGUCUAGGGAACUUAGCAUACAUUAACUCUCCAUUUCAUAAUUAUAGACUUGUGACGAUAACAUCUCAACAUAUAACAAACAAGUUUGGUCAAUUUAGUAUGAUCAUUUUGCUAACAUCAUACUCUCAAUUUUGCUUGGUGUCCUCGUUACACUUAACCAAAUGCCCAUGAUCAGGACAACAUAAUCUCACACAUCACUUGAGCUAGUCCUAGAGGCAAGACUAGGAAUCAGGUUUUACCGUUUAUCAUUCUACACGUGCUCAUGAGUUUUCCUCUGAAUCACAUAUUUAAGAACAAUAUCAGUUAUAUCAUAGAACAUAAACUCUUAAUUAUAAAUGUGGAAAUAAAUAUUACAAGUAUUAUUGCCUUGAGGGCAUAUUUCCAAUAGUUAAGAUCUGAAAUCAUGACACUCUGAUCCUAGUGACAAGCAUUAAGCGUAGCAAAGUCAUAUCAACAUCAGUCUCAGAACAUAGUGGAUUCUAGGGAUCAAGCCCUAAUUAAUUGACAUGAUUACAUAUGGAAUAUCAUCCAAUCCCAUCUACCUCUAGUAUGCCUACAAGGGGAUUGUUGGAAAUAUGCCCUAGAGGCAAUAAUAUUGUAUUGUUAUAUUUCCAUUAUUCAUAGUUAAGAGUUUAUAUUCCAUGCUAUAACUGAUAUGAUCCUAGAAUAUGUGAUUCAGUGGAAAACUCAUAUGCACAUGUGGCAUGAUAAACAGUAAACAAUAGGUUCCCGGUCUCGCCUCUAAGACUGGCUCAAGUGUAUGGUGAUCAUGUUUUCUGGAUCUUAGGAUAUCGUUAAGUUAACGAUAGUCCUAAAACAACAUUGAGGGUAUGACGUUAGAAGAACAAUCAUAUUGAAUCGACCUAAUACUUGUCUAUUAUACCAUGUGAUCAUAUCAUGUGAAAUCAUCUGUUAUAACAUGGAGUGUUAGCAUGUGUUUUAGUUCCUUAGACCAUAAGAGUGUCUCGGUCACUUCCUACCGGACGGUGGGCUUUGGGGUUGCUCAAACGUCAUUUGUAACAAGGUGAUCAUAACGACAACUUUCAGGCUCACCGAAAAGUUUGACAAGUGAACGAACAGCUCGAGAGUGGGAUUUGCUCCUCCGACGAUGGAGAGAUAUUCUUAGGGCCCUCUCGGUGUGAAGGCAUCCAUCAUCAUCUGGCCAGACACAGGUGACUGAUUCCGGAACACGUCAACCAGAAAGAAGAACAAAACCGGUAACAGGAGCAACGGUAUAGUGCGCAUUGUGAUGACUGAAGAGGAUAACGAUGCACACCGGGUUUUUAAAGUAUCGUGAAGCAAAGGGAACAUCACAUGAUAACCAAAGGUUCACUCGAAUAUCAUUCGUGUAAUCAUAGGGACCGAUAUAGAUGUCCACGGUUCCGUUGUCGGUCAUUGAACGAAGGGGUUUCAUUCAUGUCUAUGGUUUACCGAAGCUACGGGGUCACAAGCUUAAGGUAAUCAUGAUCUGCUUGAAGGAAAUAUGCCCUAGGGACGAUAAUAAAGUUGUUAUUUAUAUUUCCUUAUAUCAUGAUAAAUGUUUAUUAUUCAUGCUAGAAUUGUAUUAACCGGAAACUUAGUACAUGUGUGAAUACAUAGACAAUAGACAAAACAGAGUGUCGCUAGUAUGCCUCUACUUGAGUAGCUCGUUAAUCAAAGAUGGUUGAGUUUCCCGACCAUAGACAUGUGUUGUCAUUUGAUGAAUGGGAUCACAUCAUUAGAGAAUGAUGUGAUGGACAAGACCCAUCCAUUAGCUUAGCAUAAUGAUCGUUAAGUUUUAUUGCUAUUGCUUUCUUCAUGACUUAUACAUAUUCCUCUGACUAUGAGAUUAUGCAACUCCCGAAUACCGGAGGAACACGUUGUGUGCUAUCAAACAUCACAAUGUAACUGGGUGAUUAUAAAGAUGCUCUACAAGUGUCUUCGAAGGUGUUUGUUGGGUUGGCAUAGAUCAAUAUUAGGAUUUGUCACUCCGAGUAUCGGAGAGGUAUCUCUGGGCGCUCUCGGUAAUGCACAUCACUACAAGCCUUGCAAGCAAUGUGACUAAUGAGUUAGUUGCGGGAUGAUGCAUUACGGAACGAGUAAAGAGACUUGCCGGUAACGAGAUUGAACUAGGUAUGAUGAUAGCGACGAUCGAAUCUCGGGCAAGUAACAUACCGAUGACAAAGGGAAUGACGUACGUUGUCAUUAUGGUUUGACCGAUAAAGAUCUUCGUAGAAUAUGUAGGAACCAACAUGAGCAUCCAGGUUCCGCUAUUUGUUAUUGACCGGAGAUAUGUCUCGGUCAUGCCUACAUAGUUCUCGAACCAGCAGGGUCCGCACGAUUAACGUUCGAUGACAAUUUGUAUAAUGAGUUAUGUGUUUUGGUGACCGAAGAUUGUUCGGAGUCCCGGUUGAGAUCACGGACAUCAUGAGGAGUCUCGAAAUGGUCGAGAGGUAAAGAUUGAUAUAUUGGAAGAUGGUAUUCAAACACCGGAAUGGUUUCAAGUGGUUCGGGUAUUUUUCUGGAGUACCGAGGGGUUACGGGAAGCCCAGGGGGGAAGUCAUGGGCCUCAUGGGCCACGGGAGAGAGAGAGAGGACAGCCCACAAGGGGUGGUGCACUGGAUGGAUUAGAGUGGAGGAUUUCAAAAAAUUACUCAAAGAUUUAUGGGUUAUUUACUCUCACUUAUAUGGUAGAGUGGGGCCUUGGGGAGAAGGUUAAAGCUCAAACCAAUUGGAAAAUUCUUUGAGGGAAGGUUAGAGUUCAGUAAACAGGGUAGGGGAUAUAAACAGAACCCCCAUAAUAAUUUUCAUUAUGGUGGCUUAGCGACCUGCUUGGAGGCUCUCUAGGCGGUUUGGAGUUCUAGGACGACUUUGAAGAAAUAUCCGGGCCAUUAUGGUGGCCUCUAAAAUCGUCUAGAGGUCCAUCUAGAAUCCAUUCAAAUAUUUUCCCGGAAGUUAUGGACCACUAGAACACCCUACACGAAAAAUAGCUUAGCUUUAUCUUUCGAACUCCGCUUCUGAUGAUCUCGGGCUCAUUGGGAAGCUAACAACAAGCUCUAGGUCCUCACAUAGGGGAACCACACAAGAUCGAUAGAAAUGAAGGAUUCAACACGUGUGUCACAUCCCAGAUUUUACCCAAACCUGGUAUGUUAAGAAAAUCACAGGGAAUUAAAAAAAUCUAGAAAAGACCCAGGAAUGCCUAGGUUGCUUGUGAUUGACCCUGUUUUGCUUGAUAGUUGUUUGAAUAUGCUUAGGGAGGGAUAGAAAUCCCAAUGCCUAGUUAAACCUAGCUAGCUUCUGGUAGGAACCAAAUCAUUUUGCAAUAUUAUUGCGCAUAAGGCUAUCCCUAAUAAGUCCCAAGAAAUAUUCAAGCCAAAGUAAUCUUCCCAAAUUUUGAAUUGGAUUCAUUUUGAAAUCAAUUCAGAAGUCAAAGGGAAUUAUUUAAGAAUUGCUCUGCAUUUAUUUGGCAGGAAAAUGAAUUUAUAAGUCCAAAUAAUGGCCUCGACCUUCAGCCAGAUUUUCAAAAUGGAUUUGAAACACAUUUGGUUUUGAAACCAAAUUCAAAUUCGAAAGUGAAAACAUAAGUGUAGAAAAUGUUUGUCCGAAAACCCAAACAAAAAGUUGAAAUAGUCACAAAUAUUCAAAUUGGAAUUUAGAGACAGUUCACUGCUGAAAGAAAAUUCAAAACAAAAAUAAAAC